rnacentral:lncRNA from 1 species
UUCCCUUUUAACUGGGUACGAAAAAUUUUAUAAGCCCUCAAAACAAUACAUAUGUGGCCUUGUUAAUUAUUAAAUAAUGUGGCCUAAAGCUAUUGCUUCAUUUGCUUUACCAUAGGGCCGGCCCUGGUGAAGGAGCAGAGACAAAAAAACGAUAGACAAAAAAAAAAAGAUCUCGUCCACAAGAUCUAGUCCAUUACAUCUG